GACGAACGCUGGCGGCGUGCCUAAUACAUGCAAGUAGGACGCAGUUGCGAACGGGUGAGUAACGCGUAGGUAACUACCUAUUAGAGGGGGAUAACUAUUGGAAACGAUAGCUAAUACCGCAUACUAGUAGAUGGACCUGCUUUGUAUUAGCGAGUAGGUAGGGUAAUGGCCUACCUAGGCAAAGAUACAUAGACUACCUGGGAGGGUGAUCGGACAAACGGGGAAGGCGACACGGCCCAGACUCCUACCGGAGGCAGCAGUAGGGAAACUUCGGAAAAUGGGGGAACCCUGACCGAGCAACGCCGCGUGGUUGAAGAAGGUUUUCGGAUCGUAAAGCUCUGUUGUUAAGGAAGCGGUACUUAACCAGAAAGGGACGGCUAACUACGUGCCAGCAGCCGCGGUAAUUC
rnacentral:rRNA from 1 species